GAAAGAGAAAAAUGUGUUUAAAUGGUGGUAUUCCAGGCGUUUUCCCAACUUGUAGUAAACUAGAAGAACAAUACUGAUGCUUGUCUUAUUAUUUUAAUUUUAUUUUAUCAUAAAUACGCACGAUAUAGAAGGUGCAUAUUUACCAUGUCUGAAACAUUAUCAAGUUGCUUCUAAAUACUAGAUAUUGUUGGCACCUCUAGACAAGAAAAAAGAUAAAAUCAGGCUGGUGGUUGUUCACAGCACCCUGGCUCUGUGUUUAUACGCAGCGAUUUUAAGAUUCAUAGUCAUAAAAAUAUGUGUGUUAGAUGGGUCUAGUGGUCAUGUGCAGUCGUGCAGAUUGCAGAGAAGCAGAGACAGUGGCCUGCAGAAAGUGUUAGCAGUAGCACGGAGUGAGCACAUUUCAUGUUUGGGCCCAACUUAUGAGGCUCCGCUGCCAAGAAGGCAUUAUUUUAUACGAGGUCCGUCCCACCUCUAUCGUCCCAAGGAGGUUCACUUUGAAUAGUUUACAUUAUCCUCUGUUCUUCCCACAUCUCUGUACCAGACGGCAGACGCUGUGGUUUAUUUAUUCUGAUCAGGAGGAAAUAAAGUGGCUGCUUUUCAUCCAAAAAAAAAAAAGAAAAACGAAGAAGAAAGCGGUGCAAAAAAUUGGUAGCAGCUGGAACUGGAAAUUAGACGGACGAUUGCAGAAGAAAGACAAGGAAUAAAACAGAGUAAAUAUGCUAACAUCUGCCUACUGAAAACAGAUAGAUAGAUGCAGCCAUAUCAUGCAAUCACCGGCGUGGUGGGCUCAUGUAAUUUUGUUGUUGGGUAAAGACUAAAGACCCUGGGCACAAAAACAAAGAGUCACGUGAACUUCAUGACACAGUCGCACUCCAUUUUUCACUUGUAGAAUCUGGAAUCCGGUCACUGAUGGGUCGAUAGUUUUGGGACCUCAAAAUUUCCUCCUCCUGGGUAGUAAGUACACCAAUGUCACUUCCCCCUCAUGUUCGAUCAUGUUCAUGUUAGUGGUACAUGCAUGCACCUUAUGGGGAAAGAGAGAAGCCACUAAAAUGAAUGGGGGGGGGGGGUCGUAUGUAUGGUGUCAAAUCCCUUACUCCACGUGGAGAAUGCUCAUUCAAUCGUCUUAGGCCACAUUUUUGAAUCCUAAUCCCGAUCCUAAAAUCUGGGACAAAUUAGGAGUAGCCUCUCAAAUCCAUCCCCUUGAAGAAGGACAGACAGACAGCCAAUCGCUGCUGAUGAUCUACUUGCUCCAAAUCUAAUCCCAUUCUGAGAUUCUUCCCUUUAUUGAAUUAUAUCCAAUGCUAUUUUAGUGGGUCCUA